CCAAUAGCGUAUAUUAAAGUUGUUGCAGUUAAAAAGCUCGUAGUUGAAUUUUGGAUUCUACCAAUCGGUCCAUCUUUUGAUGAGUACUGGUUGUGUGGGGUCUAUCCGCCUGGUAAUACGUAAUGUCCUUUAUUGGAUGUUGCGGGUAGCCAGGACGUUUACCUUGAAAAAAUUAGAGUGUUUAAAGCAGGCUUAUGCCGGAAUACCUUAGCAUGGAAUAAUAGAAUAGGACGAAGUUGUUUUAUUUUGUUGGUUUCUAGGACAACCGUAAUGAUUAAUAGGGAUAGUUGGGGGCAUUAGUAUUCAAUUGUCAGAGGUGAAAUUCUUGGAUUUAUUGAAGACUAACUACUGCGAAAGCAUUUGCCAAGGAUGUUUUCAUUAAUCAAGAACGAAAGUUAGGGGAUCGAAGACGAUCAGAUACCGUCGUAGUCUUAACCAUAAACUAUGCCGACUAGGGAUCGGGCGAUGUUGUUUCAAUAACUCGCUCGGCACCUUAUG
rnacentral:rRNA from 1 species